CAAAAGCACAAAUUAGUUAUUUCUCUACAAAUUAGAUUCUUAAGAGACUUGCCUAGAGUAAUGAGGUUUUAGUGACUUGUCCAGUCACUAAUAGCUAAUAUGUACCAGUGGCAAAAUUUGAACCCACAUCCCAAUGAUAAUGAUAUUAUAACAUACUGUGUCUCCCACAGCUCUUAUAUAGUAAUUCAUAAUUUAAUUGCUUAGAUAUUUUGCCUCCCCAAUUUGAUUCCAAGUUGCUUCAAAGUAGGGAUGAUAUCUUUUUAAAUAACUAUCUCCUAAAAGCAACCUUUUUUUAUUCAAGCCAGUUCAUAUCACUUUCUCUCUCUCUCUCUCUCUCUCUCUCUCUCUCUCUCUCUCUCUCUCUCUCUCUCUCUCUCUCUCUCUCUCUCUCUCUCUCUCUCUCUCUCUCUCUCUCUCUCUGUCUCUGUCUCUCUCUCUGUCUCUCUCUCUCUCUUUCUCUCUCUCUCUCUCUCUCUCUCUCACACACACACACACACACACACACACACACUACAGAUAUUAGAUGUGCUUCUUGAAGAAAUAGAAGUAGAAGGGAAGAAAAGAAAGAUGGAAAAGGGAGCUAAACUAAGUGUAAUACAUAAAGGAAUGUAGUGAAUCAAUUUGGAGAGUGUCAAGGUUUUUUUCUCAGGGCAUCUGAUUAGCUAGAGCAAAAUACUACUUUAAAUGCUCUUCUCUCACAAGGUUCUCUUCAUCUACAUGUCAAAGUCAUACAACAUUUCUUGAAAAAAAUGUAACAUGGAGAAAACUUUGGAAUUUGGGCCUUGGCUCACUAAUAAAAAAGCAGGGCAUAAUACAGGGAAACAUAUUAUCCAUAUAUAUUUGCCAUUGUCAUGAAGGUGAUCUAGUACAGAUCUCAGUUUAUAACUUAGGGACCAGCCUGGUGAAACAUAGAAUCCUUAGAAUAAUGUUGUAAAAUACAUAAAAUGAUGUAAAGAUUACAAGGAAAACCCAAUGUGUAUGGAUAUGUGUAUAUGUCUGUGUGUAUUUAUAGCUAUGUCUAUAUAUCUAUGUCUCUCUCUCUAUACAUAUAUACACAUAUACACACACACAUAUAUAUAUAUAUGUACAUAUGUGUACACAUACAUAUAUACACAUAUAUUUUCCAUCUAAGCUCGUGUCUCUUGACAUUCAGUUUCACUAGAUUGUCAAUGGGGUCCAUAACAUAAAAAUAUUAAGAAUAAUUGGACUACAGCUAUGUUGAUCCUCCUAAAUCAGAUUUAGAUCAAAAGCCCAAUUAUCAAAAAAAAUGGUUGAAAAAUCCAUUUGAUUCUUGACUUUAACAUGUAGUUGCACAGAUGAAUUUAAUCUUUAUUAUUCAAUCAUUUCAGUUGUGUCUGACUUCAUGAACUCAUUUGUGGUUUUCUUGGCAGAGAUACUGGAUGGCUUGCUUGCCAUUUCCUUUUCUAGCUUAUUUUACAGACAAAUAACUGGAGUAAAUAUGGUAAAGUAACUUGCUCACAGUCCUUUAGCUAGUAAGUGACGAAGGUCAGAUUUAAACUCAGAGAGCUGCCUUCUAAACUUGCCUCUCAAAUCCAUUGUGUCAGCUAGUUGUCCCUAUUUUUAGCCAAUGGAGUCCCAUAGAGUGUUAGCCAAUUCAUGGCCUAUGGAGCUCAUUAAUUUUAUCUGUCUACACACACACACACACACACACACACACGUAUAUAUAUCAAUCUUCAAUUUCCACAGGGAAUUUCCACAGGGAUGACAUUCUUAGAAAAUGAUGCAAAAAUUAAAAAACAGAAACAUUGAUAUGUUGAACCUUUGGGAAAUAGAGGAUUAGGUUCUGACAACUACCAAAACCUCUAGACAUUCACUAGAAAUUGCUGAAAAUAUACUUUCUGCAUAGUAUUCUAAAUAGUAUUUUAUUUUUCCACAUGCAUGUGAAAACAGUUUUCAACAUUCUUCUUGUGUUCCAACUUUUUUCCCUCUCUCCCACUUACCUCCCCACAAAUCAAGCAAUCUGAAAAAGGUUAAAGAUGUGCAGUUGUUCUAGACAUAUUUCUAUAUUUGUAAUGCUGCACAAGAAAAACUUGAUCAAAAGUGAAAAAAAAACAUGAGAAAGAAAAAAAUAAUAAACAAACAACACAAAAGGUGAAAAUACCCAAGUCUUUCUCUGGAUGUGGAUGGUACUUUCCAUCACAAGUCUAUUGAAAUUGCCUUGAAUUGUUGAAAAAAGCUAACUCCACCACAGUUGAUUAUCACAUAAUCUUGUUGCUAUGUACAAUAUUCUUUUCAUUAUGCUUAUUUCACUUAGCAUCAGUUCAGCUUCUCCAGACUUUUCUGAAAUCAAUCAUUUCUUAUAGAACAGUAAUAUUCCAUUACAUUUAUAUAGCAUAACUUAUUUAGCCAUUCCCUAAGUGAUGGACAUACACUCAAUUUCCAGUUCCUUGCCACUACAAAAAGGGAUACUACAAACAUUUUUUGUAUGUGUAUCUUUUUCCCUCUUUUAUGAUCUGGGAUAUAGACCACAAUGCUGGAUCAAAGGGUAUGCACAACUUCAUAGUCCUUUGGGCAUGGUUCCAAAUUGUUCUCCAGAAUGUUUGGAUUAUUUCACAACUCCAUUAACAACAUACUAUUUUUUUUAUAAUAAAACAUUAUUUUUGAUAAUAUGUACUUAGCAAUCAUAAAAUGAACUCACAAAAUUCAGUACACAAAAUAAAAUUGGUAAUCUAAACAACAUUUUUUCUUACUUCUAUUUUUCCUCUUUUUGCAGAUAUAAUGAAUGAUUCAUUAAUACCAAACUCAAGUCACUGAAGACAAUCCAGAAUGACUGUCAAUACUUAGAUUACUGAGAGGUUACACGAUUUCCUUAGAGUCAUAUGGAGUUCAAGGCUUCUUAAACUUUCCACUCAUGACUCCUACAACCAAGAAAUGUUUACAUGACCCCCAAUAUAUAAAAUAAGUAUACAAAUCAAAUAUUUACUGAUAACUGACCUCUAACACCUUUAUUUUCUCAUUAAAUUGCAUCACUAGUUUUGCAGAUUUGAGUUUAGUUUCCAAAUGCUUCAUACUAACAGCUUGGAGGCAUAAUUGCAACACAAAAUUUGAGCUCUAAAGGUGAAUAAUGAAGCUAUCCAAUGAAUAAACAAGGAGGAUUUUGUUAUUGUUGUUGUUGUUUUGUUUUUUACUACAGUAGGGUGAAUAAGACCAAUAAAACACUUGGGAGGAUAUUCAUUCCCUACAUUUGCACACAUCUAAGUGAGACAAUGUGGUAAUGCAAAUAGUAAGCUGGUCUCAAAGUCAGGAGAUCUGAGUUCAAGUCUCCUCUCUGACAUAUACUAGUUUGGACAGAUUUUGUUCAGUUUAUUAAACCUCAGUACUCAAGAAAAGUAUAAUAUUAUGAUUUUUAGAGAAGCUAAUGUUUUUCAUUGGUACAGGAAGUUUCUCACUGAGCCUCUUAAAUCAAUGAAAUCAUAUCUUUAACCUCUUUCCCCUUUCCCACAGACAUGUAUGUGGGUCAAUAUAUCUAUGCAUAUAUACACAUAUUAUGUACAUACAUGCACACACAUAUAUGCAUAUAUACUCAAGUACAUAUAUACACAAGCAUAAUACAUAUAUAGACAUAAACAUAUCUAUUUUUUUAUUUAAUAGCCUUUUAUUUACAGGAUAUAUGCAUGGGUAACUUUACAGCAUUAACAAUUGCCAAACCUCUUGUUCCAAUUUUUUACCUCUUACCCCCCCACCCCCUCCCCUAGAUGGCAGGAUGAUCAGUAGAUAUUAAAUAUAAUAAAAUAUAAAUUAGAUACACAAUAAGUAUACAUGACGACAUAAACAUAUCUAAGCAAAUACACAUAUAUAUUUAGAAUGGGUUUCUUGAAUAUAGGGUCUUUUUGGGGGGGAGGGAGGCAGGGAGAUGAGAUUUGGCUUUUCUUAGUAUACUUAUCACAGUGCCUGAAACAUAGGCACUUAGUAAAUGCUUGUUGAAUUGGGAAUUGGAAAUAGAUUGUGAGUUAGGCUCAGAAUUCAAUAGGAAGACCACAAAAUGUAUUGCCUUUGGAAAACUUCAAAGUAUUUUUUAAAAAAUUCUCCUCAGCUUCAGUCCCUUGAAACAAAGGUCUAUUUCUUUGUCAAUAUUCUUAUGAUAUUAAAUCAUCAUGCAAGAAAAAAUCCUCUGAAGGACUGAAGUUAACAUGAUGGGUCAAACUGGAAUGAAACAUUUGACAAACAAUAAAGCAGUCAAAAGAAACAGAAUAAAAGAUUUCAUCAAAAAACUGUAACUUAAAGAAAAUCCCAGCAGCAAUGAAGGCCUAUAUAUUAACAUGGAAUUUUGUCUUUUUAUCAAUGAACUUUCCAGACAAUCAGAAUAUUUUCACUUCUGAAAAUGGUCACAAACAUUGGAUGAUCAGAUGCCAGAAUAUGAGUAAAAACCUACCUUCUGUUUACAUUGAUGAGAGCUCUGUCAUUUAAGAGGAAGGAGUGAGAAAUGAUAUAAAAAAUAUCUCUUUAGAUAAAUGUGUCCAAAAAAAGAUUAUGGGCUUGGUCAUAUAAUAGAAGUGAUGGAUAACCAGCCUACUUAUUCCAUUAUCACCUAUGUGAUUUAAAAGAAUAAGAGCAGGAACCCCAAAAGACUGGGUAGAUUUUUUGUACUUUUUUGCAGAAAGACAUGAAUGACUGUCAUUUAGGAAGACCAUAAUCUACAACUUUGGAGGGAAUACCCCUAUGGAGGAGGUCACAGAUCCAUUAGCAAUAAUAGAAUAUCCAAAUUAGUACCUAGAACACUGUUUGGUUUACUGUUCUGUAAACACUCAAACAGUUCAAUUGACAUAGCUCGAUUAUCUGUGCAACAAUUUAUUUUCUUGUGUUCCUAUGAAAAAAAAUUAAAGGUGUUGAAUAAAAAUCAAGUGCAUACAAAGAUACUAUUUUUAUCCUUAAUAUAUAAGUUGCAUGAUAAAAACUAUAAAAUAAAUUAUUAUUUCUAGUUUUUCAAAUUAUAAAUAGCAAGAACAUAUCAACAAUAGUGGUAGUUAUUUAGAAGUUACAUAGAUUUCAGGCUACUAUCUCACUAUACUGAAACUCUUAUAGGAAGAAUAUGAGGCUUCUUUCAUAAGCUGAUAGUCAAUUUUCAUUUGUUAGCUAAUGAAAGGAGCCUCUGGAAAUAUGAUUUUCAGACUUUAGUUUAAGUCAUGAACUAAAAAUUGCAUUUUAAAAUUAUGGAAUAGACAAGGUCAAGUUGCUAAAAUCAUGUACCCAGAUAAUAUUAAUCAACAUCUCCUCCCCCACCAUCCUAGUUAAUUUUCUUUCAUUUUUCUAUUUCUGAUAGAGAUAGGAAUAGAGGCUAACCUAAUGAUUUCAUUGAUAAAGGGAACUCAAGAAUGAGGGAACCUCCCCUAUCAAUACAGUCUGGCACCUUUCUCUGAAAGUUAUUAUUUUAUUUUAUUUUAUUUUUAAUAGCUUUUUAUUUACAAGUUAUAUGCAUGGGCAAUUUUAUAGCAUUGACAAUUGCCAACUUUUUGUUCCAAUUUUUCCCCUCCUCUCCCCCCACCCCCUCCCCUAGAUGGCAGGAUGGCAGGAUGGCAAUACAUGUUAAAUAUAUUAAAGUAUAAAUUCAAUACAAAAUAAGUAUACAUGUCCAAACCAUUAUUUUGCUGUACAAAAAAAUCGGACUCUGAAAUAUUGUACAAUUAGCCUGUGAAGGAAAUCAAAAAAUUCAGGUGGGCAAAAAUAUAGGGAUUGGGAAUUCAAUGUAAUGGUUCUUAGUCAUCUCCCAGAGUUCUUUCGCUGGGUGUAGCAGGUUCAGUUCAUUACUGCUCCAUUAGAACUGAUUUGGUUCAUCUCAUUGCUGAAGAUGGCCAGGUCCAUCAGAAUUGAUCAUCAUAUAGUAUUGUUGUUGAAGUAUAUAAUGAUCUCCUAGUCCUGCUAAUUUCACUAAGGAUCAGUUCGGGUAAUUCUCUCCAGGCCUGAAAGUUAUUAUUUUAAAGAUAUAUUUAAAGUAUUGAGAGGUUAAGUAAUUUAUGAUCAUAUGGAGUCCAGGGCUUCUUAAACUUUUUCUCUACUCAACCCUUUUGAGUGCAAGAAAAUUUUACAUGAGCCUUGGCAUAUAAAAUAGGUAUAUAUACCUAUAAAGUAUGGGCUAGCUCCCUGGAGGGCUUCAGGAUCAGCCAGAGGCAGGUUAAAUCAAAGUCCUUGGUCUUUAGGGGGAGAAGUGAAGGAGGCAGGCAAGCUGCCAUGUGGCUUGCCAAAGAUGUAUCCUGGAUUCUGGAGUCCAGAGCCUCUCUCCUCCUUAUCCUGCCACCAAGUGACCCUGACUUCUCUCCCUCAGCCCUCCAAUCCUUGCCUAUGAGAAUCUCACCACCAAGCAUUCAGUAAACACCAAUGGUGAGGAGAGGCAUCAUCUAAACAUAUGCUUAUGGAGCUAUUGUCUCAAAUCGAAUAGUGUAUCUUUUUCCCUCUUUUAUGAUCUUUUUGGGAUAUAGACCACACUGCUGGAUCAAAGGGUAUGCACAGCUUCAUAGUCCUUUGGGCAUAGUUCCAAAUUGUUCUCUAGAAUGAUUGGUUUAUUUCAGCCUUAAAGUCACCUUUUAAAAUAGAAAUUUGAACUCAGAUCCUCUGACUCAAAAGUUGGUGCUUUUGACACUGCUUCUUGAAAGUGUUAAUAUAGCUCCUAAAAGGACACAAGUAUGGUAAUAUUGAUAUUACCAUUGAUAUAUCCAAAAACAAACUAUUGUUUAUAUUUAAUAUUCAAAAAGGAACAAAGUAACAUCACAAUAUCAGGAUUAAUGUAUGUCUGGCUGUGGUUGAUCAUACUAAUAAGAGCUCAGAAGGCUAUAUCACAGGUCAAAUACAAAAAGAAAUGAUAGAAUUGUAAAAUAAUUGAGUAUUAAAAUGAUGAAGUAAUAAAAAUAGUUUAGAUGGUAUCUUCGAAUGUCCAUAAAUUGGACUUGAGCAAGGCAGAGUUGUAGAAAGUAGUCAGUUUCAUUCUCUCUUCCAGAGUCAUUGGAGCUCAGUGGCAUGACAAAAAGUCAAGAUGAAUGGUGAUGGAUCUGAAAACAGUGGGUGACUUUGUUGUCUGACCAAGGUCUAAGCACUCCUUACCAUCUGCUUCUUUUUUUUUUCAAGUUCAUUUUGGUUUAUUUAUUUUUAUUAUUUAAUAGCCUUUUAUUUACAGGUUAUAUAUGGGUAACUUUACAGUAUUAACAAUUGCCAAACCUCUUGUUCCAAUUUUUCACCUCUUAUCCCCCACCCCCUCCCCCAGAUGGCAGGAUGACCAGUAGAUGUUAAAUAUAUUAAAAUAUAAAUUAGAUACACAAUAAGUAUACAUGACCAAACUGUUAUUUUGCUGUACAAAAGGAAUCAGACUCUGAAAUAUUGUGAAGGAAAUCAAAAAUGCAGGUGUGCAUAAAUAUAGGGAUUGGGAAUUCAAUGUAAUGGUUUUUAGUCAUCUCGCAGAGUUCUUUCUCUGGGCGUAGCUGGUUCAGUUCAUUACUGCUCCAUUGGAAAUGAUUUGGUUGAUCUCAUUGCUGAAGAUGGCCAGGUACAUCAGAACAGGUCAUCAUAUAGUAUUGUUGUUGAAGUAUAUAAUGAUCUCCUGGUCCUGCUCAUUUCACUCAGCAUCAGUUCGUGUAAGUCUCUCCAGGCCUUUCUGAGAUCAUCCUGUUGGUCCAUUUCUUACAGGAAAAUAAUAUUCCAUACUAUUGAUAUACCACAAUUUAUUCAGCCAUUCUUCAACUGAUGGGCAUCCACUCAGUUUCCACUUUCUAGCCAAUACAAAAAGGGCUGCCACAAACAUUUGUGCACAUACAGGUCCCUUUUCCUUCUUUAUAAUCUCUUUGGGAUAUAAGCCCAGUAGUAACACUGUUGGAUCAAAGGGUAUGCACGGUUUGAUAACUUUUUGAGCAUAGUUCCAAACUACUCUCCAAAAUGGUUGGAUUCGUUCACAACUCCACCAACAAUGCAUCAAUGUCCCAGUUUUCCCACAUCCCCUCCAACAAUCAUCAUUAUUUUUUUCUGUCAUCUUAGCCAAUCUGACAGGUGUGUAGUGGUAUCUUAGAGUUAUUAAUUUUCAUUUCUCUGAUUAAUAAUGACUUGGAGCAUCUUUUCAUAUGACUAGAAAUAGUUUCAAUUUCUUCAUCUGAGAAUUGUCUGUUCAUAUCCUUUGACCAUUUUUCAAUUGGAGAAUGGCUUUGUUUUUUAUAAAUUAGAGUUAAUUCUCUAUAUAUUUUGGAAAUGAGGCAUUUAUCAGAACCUUUGACUGUAAAAAUAUUUUCCCAGUUUAUUGCUUCCCUUCUAAUCUUGUCUGCAUUAGUUUUGAGUUUUGUUUGUACAAAAACUUUUCAGUUUGGUAUAGUCGAAAUUUUCUAUUUUGUGAUCAGUAAUGAUCUCUAGUUUUUCUUUGGUCACAAAGUCCUUCCCCUUCCACAGGUCUGAGAGGUAAACUAUCCUGUGUUCCUCUAAUUUAUUAAUAAUUUCAUUCUUUAUGACUAGGUCAUGAACCCAUUUUGACCUUAUCUUGGUGUACGAUGUUAAGUGUGGAUCAAUGCCUAGUUUCUGUCAUAUUAGUUUCCAAUUUUCCCAGCAAUUUUUAUCAAACAGUAAGUUCUUAUCCCAAAAGCUGGGAUCUUUGGUUUUGUCAAAGAUUAAGUUGCUAUAGUUGUUGACCGUUUUGUCCCUUGAACCUAACCUAUUCCACUGAUCAACUAAUCUAUUCGUUAGCCAAUACCAAAUGGUUUUGGUAACUGCUGCUCUAUAAUAUAAUUUUAGAUCUGGUACAGCUAAGCCACCUUCAUUUGAUUUUUUUCAUUAAUUCCCUUGAAAUUCUUGACCUUUUGUUUUUCCAUAUGAAUUUUGUUGUUAUUUUUUCUAGAUCAUUAAAAUAGUUUUUUGGGAGUCUGAUUGGUAUAGCACUAAAUAAAUAGAAUAGAUAAUAUUAUCAUCUUUAUUAUAUUUGCUCGCCCUAUCCAAGAGCAUUUAAUAUUUUUCCAAUUGGUUAGAUCAGACUUAAUUUGUGUGAAAAGUGGUCUGUAAUUUUGCUCAUAAAGUUUCUGAUUUUCCCUUGGCAGAUAGAUUCCUAAAUAUUUUAUAUUAUCAGUAGUUACUUUAAAUGGAAUUUCUCUUUGUAACUCUGACUGUUGGAUUUUGUUAGUGAUAUAUAAGAAUGCUGAUGACUUAUGUGGGUUUAUUUUAUAAUCAGCAACUUUGCAAAAAUUGUGGAUUAUUUCUAAUAACUUUUUAGCAGAAUCUCUGGGGUUCUCUAAGUAUACCAUCAUGUCAUCGGCAAAGAGUGAUAAUUUGGCUUCCUCAUUGCCUAUUCUUAUUCCUUUAAUCUCUUUCUCAGCUCUUAUUGCUAUAGCUAGCGUUUCUAAUACAAUAUUAAAUAGUAACGGUGAUAGUGGGCAACCUUGUUUCACUCCAGAUCUUAUUGGGAAUGGUUGCAGUUUGUCUCCAUUACAUAUGAUGCUUACUGAUGGUUUUAAAUAGAUGCUGCUGAUUAUUUUAAGGAAAAGUCCAUUUAUUCCUAUACUCUCAAGUGUUUUUAAUAGGAAUGGAUGUUGGAUUUUGUCAAAUGCUUUUCCUGCAUCUAUUGAGAUGAUAACAUGGUUUUUGUUAACUUGAUUAUUAAUAUGGCCAAUUAUAUUGAUAGUUUUCCUAAUAUUGAACCAGCCCUGCAUUCCUGGUAUAAAUCCUACUUGAUCAUAGUGUAUUAUCCUGGGGAUGAUUUUCUGUAGUCUUUUUGCUAAUAUCUUAUUUAAGAUUUUAGCAUCAAUAUUAGCAUCUGUUUCUAAUACCCUUGUUGCCCAUUGGGGUAAAAAGAAUUUAUAUCUGUCUUUUCUACCAGAGAAGUCUUCACAAGAUGGAGCCACAGGUGGAAGCUAGAUGACAGGUGGACUCCAAAGAUAGAUGAGAAGCUCUGAAAAGGGCUUGGCUGUCCUUAUACCAGAAAUACUAAUUUUACCUUGAUCACUUAAAUCCUAAAAAAAAUAAAUAAAUAAAUAAAUUAAAAUAAAAAACAAACAAAAAACCUAGAGUAUGCCAUAGUUACUAUAAAGAACUAGACCUGUGGUUUCAUUGGUAUAAAUGAAGAAAUUCUAUCAAUUCUUGAUGACACUUCUUUGUAACUUACAGUGUUAGAAAGUUAUCUAGUCCUAAGAGAGACUUUAAGUGACUAUCCCAAAGUCUGCAUGGGAUUCAACAUACUCUGAUUACCUCUAUAAUUCUAUCCUUGGGGCAAGACUUAAAUCUAUUCUGUUCUAAUGCAAUGCCGCAUUUGGACUUUUGCAUAUAUUAUCAGAUAUGUGAUUUUCUCAAGCAAUGAUAACAAAAUGUAUAAUGUUUACAUAUAAAUCAUAAUUUAUAUGUUAUAUAUGUUAUAAUUUUCAGGCAAUGUGAAUUUUCAUUCUCUGCAACAUUGUACUCUACAUUCCUAGGUAAAGGUGGUCAGUGUAGAAGUAAAUAUUCUUUCUGUUAGGUCUAUGCUUCUGUCUGUGCUAUUAGGAGCUCCAAAGAGGGCAGACAGAGAAAUACCUAAUAUAAGCCUUAGAAACAGACUUUCUUUUCAAAUAGUUGCCCAUCUGAAGGCCAAUUCUCUUGCCUCAGAUCAUCUACAAAUUAGGGAGGAGUAAUUUCUAUUGAUGCCAGUUGCUUUUUGUUUAAUUCGAUUCCUAACCUAAAAAACCAUCAAAAAUACAUCAAAAAGACUUAAAGAUCAAAAUCUCUAUAGUUAAAGAGAUCAUGUAGGGCUUGAUGGAGGAGAUGACAUUUUAAGUUAUGCUUUAAAAGAUGGGUGUAGUUUACUAGGUGAGGAAGGAGAUUGAUCAUACUGUUUCCUAAGCUUACAAAGUGUAAUGGGACCAUCUUUCUAUCUUUUUCUAUGACUAUCAGGGAUUUCCAAUGGAAAAUGGUAAAGGAGACCUUAAUUGUCUAUUGAUCUAGAGGCACAGAUGAUUUAGUGGAGGUACAAAACUGAGCAACAAGAUCUUCUAUCACUCUCCUUCUGAAUCUAAUAUAUUUACUAUUUAAAGUUGAAUCUGGAAAUUUCAGAGGUUGACAAAGUGAUUGGACUGUUUGCAACCCAGCCUCCAUAAAGUCAUGAAUAAUUUGUUCAUUUUGUUCUUGGGUAAAUAAAUAUCCUAUGUAGAUAAAUCAAGAACUGGUAGCCAUCGAUUUGCUUCAGGCAAAGACGCUGGGCAGAGUUUGUGGCGGUCUGCAGUCUGCGGUCAGCUGCUAAUACUCACAGUCCCACAAGAGGCUCCGGCCUGGGGCAGUGACACUUUCACUCCUUAGUCUCUAGCCGAGGGCAAUCGCUAACCCACACAGCCCAACUGGGCACUUCGAUAGCUCGGCCAGUGCUGAAUCCACUUCCUGUUGGGGGAAGGGAAGACUCUCACUCAGAGCACUCCCAUACCUCGGAGCCAGAAAUCGGUUUACAUCUCUCCCUGCUCUGCAGAGGAAGCUGGUAACCCCCUUGCCUAGGAGACCUACCCUAAAGGCUUUAAAACAUGAAUAAAAAGAUGAAAAGAACGAUCGACAGCUUCUAUGCAGAAAAAGAGCAGGUCAGCAAACCUGAAGAGACCUCAAACAGCAAAAAUGCAUCAGACUGUCCUCCUUUACAUGAUGCUCUCAUAGAAGAGACCAUUAAAAGUCUCAAAAGAGAGUUAGAAGAUAAAUGGGGAAAGGAAAGAGAAGCCUUACAAGAGAGCAACAACUUCCUGAAAUACGAAUUGGAAAAGUUAAAAAAUUCCCAGGAAGUGCAGGGAAACAAAAUUGGUGAAUUGGAAAAAAUAAAGAACUCGCAAGAAAGUAGGAUUUGCGAAUUGGAAAAGACAAAGAACUGGUAGCCAUAAUGUAGGCUCAGAAAACUUAAAAGGUGUAGGAAGGCCUUGAGUGAUGUGGCCAUGGCAUCUUUAGAAUAGAAAUAGCUAAUGGAAAGAGAACCUUUUGCUAAUAGAAAAAUGAGAGAGAAAUUACCUUGACCAAAAGGAUUAGUCUGGAUGAAAUAUUUAGCAAGCAAGUACUGGAAGUAUUUGGACAAUUAAGUGCUAAAGUGAACUACAAAAUGUCUGAUUAGAAUGCAAAAAUGCUUUACGUUUUAAUGAGGCUUAGAUAUAAGCUUCCCAGAUAAUUAUAAUCAUAGUUAUACAUAAUCAAAAUCAUAACUGGAUCCAGUUAAUACUAGAAAUUCUGCUAAAUUUGCUGUGAUUCUUCACUCUCAGCACUACUUCAUAAACUGCAUAUCUCAUAUUCAAUUUAUAUUGCACAUUGAGUAUCUUUAUUAUUUUUCUCCUCCCUUUUGGGAAGCCCUAGAUUUAUAAAUCAAAGUAAACAUCAUCCCUGGGUCAGGACAGGGGUUUUGUUUAUGAGUUGCCAAGUGCAUAGUAAAAGAACCUGCUAUCAGCAGAGAUAGAAAGGUUGGUCCAUACUGAACUUGGGCUUCAAAUCACUAUAAGUGGGCAGAACAUAAAGAGGAACAAAUGUCCCAAUCCCUGGGAACUGAGCCAUAGUAUUUUAGGAUAGAAAAGAAUCUUGGAGAAAGAAUUUAGGACAUAUGUUGGGGGAUAUGGACCAGGAAGAGGGUAUACCAGCCCAUCUGGAGAAUAGUGUGUGGAAGUGAACCAUGCGAAUUAUAGCUAGACAAAUAAGUGGUAUCAGAUUGUGGAAGGCUUUCAAGGGGGGAAAGAAAUUGACUAGUAGGCAAUUAAUUGGUAGGCAAUAAAAUAAGCAUUAGAGAUUUUUGAACAAAUAAUAAGUUGACUGAUACCUAUGCAUAAGAAAUGUUAUUUUUAUAUUGGUCUGAAGAAAAUGGAUGGCAGAGGGAACACAGAAGUAGGAAGAAAUUUAAUGUUACUCUCAAAGCCUAUGUGGAUGUUAAGGAUUGGUGGUACUAAGGUACCAGCAGUGAAAAUGGAGACAAGGUGACUGAAAUUAGGUUAUCUGCCUUAGAAUGAAUUAAAACUUAAUUCAACUUGAAAUAAAGUCGAAACAUAAAUAUGCUUCACAAACUCUAAAAUUAUAAUCCACUCCAAUGCAAGAAAUUUCAUCAAUACUUUUUUGGUGUUUACAACUCUUUCCUAGGAGAUGAAGGGACAAAAUAGUUUAAUUGAAUUUGACAAUUAAGAGUUUGCACUGUUAUUCCUAUUUUAAAUUCAAAGAAGCUGAGACUCAGAGAUUAAAUUAUUUGUCUUAUGUCACAUAAAUAAUAAAUAUCAAAUGUGGAAAUUGAGUCCAAGUUUUCUGAAUCAAAGUCAAACCCUUAAUUUUCCAUGACAUGCCUUUUAGAAAAGUCACUAAACCUCAGCCACAAUUUCCACAAUUUCCUGUAAAAUCGAUAUAAUAGAAUCUGUGUCACAGGAUUGCUUUGAACACUAAAUGAAAUAUAUAUAUAUAUAUAUAUAUAUAUACAUAUAUAUAUAUAUAUAUAUACACCCUUUGCAAAUCUUAAAAUGCUAUAAAAUGCUUGUUACUGUUGUUAUUUUUGUUUGAUGUUAAUAAUAACAACAAUAAUUAAUAACAAUAAUACUUUUUCUUUAGGAACAUGCAAUCUAAAGGGAGAAAGCAACGACAUAAUGUUAAAAUGUACACGUAUUAGAGAUUCAGAGAAUCUUGGUGAGAUUGAAGGGAAAAGAAUACAAUAUAAAUUUCUGGUUGUUUGUUAGAUUAAUGUCCAGUGACAUCUAGGACAGUGCCUGUCACAUAGCUGGUGCAUAAUAAAUGCUUUUCCAAUGCUAUUGAAUUAGGGAUUGUUCCUGAUAAUCGAUGGAAGUCUCCUUAAAAAAAUGCCAUAGGAGUAGAAUAGGAAUUUUUUCAGGUCAAUAUGAAAUGAAAAUCUAUUCCAUUUUAAAGGGAGAGUGUUAACAAAGACAUUCAUAUGGAAAAGCCCAGUGAGUGAUGUGUGGACAGAGAAUAGUCCAAAAUAGAAUAGUGCAAUGUAGAAUGUGGGAAAAGAGUAAUAAGAGAUAAAGUCUAAAAAGGCAAGUUUAUCACCAGCAUAGUGAACAUGCACAUGCGUGUAUGCAUGCAUGCACACACACAUACAAACACACACACACACACAUACACCACAGCAAAAAAGAAGCAAUGUGAGAAAUGGGGAUGAGAUAUUUAAGACAUGGAGUAAGAAUGUGUGUCUACAAAUAGCUAGGCAGAUGGUAAGUCUUUAAGUACAGCUCAUCCAUAUGGCAACUGAAACAAUUUAAUAUAGAAUCAGUAGAGCACAAAAAGCAUUGUUGGAUUUCUCAGCUGGAAUGGACCAUUUCUUCUUCUUUAGGUUAAACCCUCAAGGAAGAAAGCAUUGUAUUCCUGGAUACUGUAAAGGUCAAAGAAAACUGCAUACUUUGGGAAAAGAGAAAGAGAAAUGAGUUCAUAUCCCAAAGGUGGAAAGCAACCAGGCCUGCAUUUUACAAAUCUAAGGUCUGUGUUUAUAUUCCUCUCCCUAUCUGUUGCAGCUUUUUUUUAAGAGCUCAAAGUAUAUUAGCCCUUUGAUCUCAGAGGCAAGUUGAAUGAGGUAGGAGACUCAUAGAAUAUGAAAAGAACUCCAAUUUAUUAUGCUGUACAGACUUGUUGAUAUACAUUUUUGCAAGUGUGAUCAGCAUGUAAACAGUAGGCAAUCCCUAAUCAUCAUUCAGAGAAGCAGCUUAUGGGCUUUGCAUCUGCAUGGCAUUUGCCAAUGGGAGGAGAGCCAAUCCAGCAAUUUAACAACUCACUCCCAGGAAAGAGACCCUGUCAGGGCAUCCCUACUCAUAAGCAACUAGCUAUGCCUAACUAUGAUCCUCUGGCUCAAUACUCGUUUCCAUGACCACAAAUGGUGGAGAAAGAUCUAUAAAAGCAUCCUAAUAUUACAGGGCAACAACAAAGCAGUAACAACAUAACACACAGAGCAAUCCAAUGCAUGAUUCUAAUUUUCACUACCAUGAAGAGGUAUUAUCAAACCAAUGUAUGAUUUUAUCUGGAUUCAUAUCUUCAUGAGAAACUUUCUUUAUAUCAGAUGCUAAUUUAUAUAAACUUUCUAUGUCACCUUCAAUUGUGUUAUUGAGAAAUAAAGCACUCAAAUGCCUCUUGAUACUGUCACAAUCAUAAUCUUGACUGAUGUGAUUAUGCAGCAAAAGGGUUAGAGAAAACUUUGUACAUAUGUAAACACAUUGUAAUUGAGCUUGGAUUUUCAGUAACUCUACUUCUGUUCCUAUUUCCAAUGAUACUUCUCUUAAAUCUUUUAUCAUCUGAAUUGUUCAUCUAUCUUAGCUUGUUGGGCAAAAUGCACUGAGACAUUCCUAGCUAGUUCCUCGAUAUAUUAGCUUGUACUAUGCUAUUUUGUAUAUUAGAUAUGGACAUUUCAAAAAAAACUGAUGAAACUGAGUGAAACUAACAUAGGGAUACCUAAUAUGACACAAAUGAUACAUCUCUUUUUUUCUAACAGGACGAAUGUCUGUUUCCUUCUUUUCUAUUAUGAUAUUGAACAUAUGAUUAAUCUUAUGAUUACUCUUUCCAGUCCAUCACUUUGGACACGAAGCAUUGAUACAUGAGCUCUAGUGAUCACAAAUACAGUCUGAUUGACAUGGUACCAAUACCUAAACUAGGUAGGAUGAAAACAGAGAAAGAAAAUUAUAGACCAAUCUCCCUAAAGAAUAUUGAUGCAAAAAUCUUAAACAAAAUAUUAGCAAAGAGAUUACAAAUAAUCAUCCCCAGGAUAAUACACCACUACCAAGUAGAAUUUAUACCAGGAAUGCAGGGCUGGUUCAAUAUUAGGAAAACUAUUAACAUAAUUGACUAUAUCAGUAAUCAAAUUAACAAAAACCAUGUAAUCACAUGUAAUCUUAAUAAAUGCAAAAAAAGGAUUUGAUAAAAUCCAACACCCAUUCCUGUUUAAAACACUAGAGAAUAUAAGAAUAAAUGGACUUUUCCUUAAAAGAGUCAGUAGCAUCUAUUUAAAACCGUCAGCAAGCAUCAUAUAUAUCAUAUCAUGGGGAUAAACUUAGAACCAUUCCCAAUAAGAUCAGAGAUGAAACAAGGUUGCCCACUAUCAUCAUUGCUAUUUAAUAUUGUAUUAGAAAUGCUAGCCUUGGCAAUAAGAGAAGAAAAAAGAUUAAAGGAAUUGCAGGAUACAAAAUAAAUCCACAUAAAUCAUCAGCAUUCUUAUAUAUCACUAACAAAAUCCAACAUCAAGAGAUACAAAGAGAAAUUCCAUUUAAAAUAAGUGUUGAUAAGAUAAAAUAUUUAGGAAUUUAUGUGCCAAGGAAAAGUCAGGAACUACAUAAGCAAGACUACAAGACAAUUUCCACACAAAUAGUCAGAUCUAAGCAAUUGGAAAAAAUAUCAAGUGCUCUUGGAUAGGUCGAGCAAAUAUAAUAAAAUUGACAGUAUAGCCUAAAAUAAUCUAUUUAUUUAAUACUAUACCAAUCAAACUCCCAAGAAACUAUUUUAAUGAACUAGAAAAAAAUAACAACAAAAUUCAUCUGGAAGAACAAAAGAUCAAGAAUUUCAAAAGAAUUAAUGAAGAGAAAAGCAAAUGAAGGUUGGCCUAGUUGUACCAGAUCUAAAACUAUAUUAUAAAGCAGUGGUAACUGACUAAGAAAUAAUCUAGUUGAUCAGUGGAAUAGGUUAGGCUCACAGAACAAAAUAGCCAAUGACUAUGGCAAUCUUAUAUUUGACAAACCAAAAAGCUCCACCUUUUGGGAUAAGAAUUAACUAUUGACAAAACCUGUUGGGAAAAUUGGAAACUAGUAUGGCAGAAAGUAGGCAUAGACCCACACCAAACAUCAUAUACAAGAUAAGGUUGAAAUGAGUUCAUGAUCUAGACAAAAAGAAUGAUAUUGUAAACAAAUUAAAAGAACCUAGGAUAGUUUACCUCUCAGAUCUGUGGAGGAGGAAGGAAUUUAUGACCCAAAAAGAACUAGAGAUCAUUGUUGAUCAUAAAAUAGAUAAUUUUGAUUAUGUUAAGUUAAAAAAGUUUUUGUACAAACAAAACUAAUGCAGACAAGAUUAGAAGGGAAGCAAUAAACUUUGAAAACAUUUUUUACAUCCAAAGGAUCUACUAAAGGCCUCGUUUCUAAAAUAUAUAUAGAAUCGACUCAAAUUUAUAAUAGUUCAAGCUAUUCUUCAAUUGAUAAAUGGUCAAAGGAUAUGAACAGACAAUUUUCAGAUGUCAAAAUUGAAACUAUUUGUAGGCACAUGAAAAGGUGCUCCAAAUCACUAUUGAUCAGAAUAAUGCAAAUCAAAACAGCUCUGUGAUAGCACUACAUACCUGUCAGAUUGGCUAACAGGAAAAGAUAAGGAUGAAUGUUGGAGGGAAUGUGGGAAAACUGGAACACUAAUGCAUUGUUGAUGGAAUUGUAAACAGAUCCAACCAUUCUGCAGAGCAGUUUGGAACUAUGCUCAAAAAAUUAUCAAACUCUGCAUAUCCUUUGAUCCAGCAGUAUUUCUAUUGGGAUAAUAUCCCAAAGAGAUCUUUAAAAAGGGAAAGGGACCCACCUGUGCAAAUUCUGGCUCUCUUCAACAUUGAGAUGAUUUGGGUCACUUCCACUUGUGCAAUGAUGAAGAUAACCAUCUAUACCCAAGGAGGGAACCAUGGGAAUAGAGGGUGGAAUACAGUAUAGCAUUCUCACUUUCUCUAUCAUAUUUACUUGCAUUUUGUUUCUUUUUUGUCAGUUUUUCUUUUUCUUCCUUCUUCAUCUGAUUUUCCUUGCACAAUUGGAUGGCUAUGUGAAUAUGUAUCUGGCAUGUAUUUUGGCAUAUUUGGCAUGUGUUGGACUGCCUGAUGGGUGGGGGAGGGAUAGGGAGGAAGAAGGGGAAAUUUGCAGCAGGGGAUUAUGCAGGUGUCAAUGUUGGAAAAAUUACCCAUGUAUAUGCUUUGUAAAUAAAAAGCUUCAGUUAAAAGAAAAUACAGUCUUAUUUUCACUUUCAGUAUCCAAACAAUCAGUAAUUGUACAAAUCCAACAAGUAACAUCAUAAUAACCUAAUGUUUCUUUGGUAAUAGUUACAGAUAUUUCCCUCCCAGACAGGCUUUAGAAUAAAACUGGUAUUCAAUUCUCGUGCCAUUUUUUCAAGAACCAGGGCCCAAAUGUUUUUACAUGUAACAAACUGCAGGCCCAAUUCUUAAGAGACAAGAAUGUGUCCCAUAGAAGCUUGUGCUUUCCAUAAACCUUUCCAGAUAUUGCCUGUUGAAAGUACCCAAACAAGUACUGGAAGACUGUCAUACAUCAUCUUUUUAGUUUCAUGCCACGAUUAUAAUGUCCAGUUUGUAAUGGUAUAACAAGUACAAGUAUGGGCAUAGCACGCAGAUAUGAGGAGCCAACCUGAUAACCCCUUUAUGUAGACACACAAUUGCAACCUUUCCAUUUGUAUGAGUGUGUCACUAUGACAGGGCAUCUCCUGUAUUCCCAGCAUUUGUGUCACAUGAUACCCCAUAACCGAAACUGGCAUUUGUAAAGUCAUGUGCACAAUAGGUACUGUUCUUUAGUAACUAGCACAAAGGAAGCCUAUUCACAUGUCCAACAAAGUUGUACUUUACUUUUGCCAUAGUUCCAUUGUAUUUCUCAAGGUAAAAUUCAUCUCCAAUUAUUCAAGAUGUAUUUUCUGUUAGCACUACAUCCAGUAUGUGUUCCCCCCAUGAGACAAUCAUAGGCCAUGAUGGGUCCAUCAUGAUAGCUCACCUUUAGACCUCUGUUGCCAAUGCUGAAUGUAUGUAACACAAAUUCAUAUAUAUAGAAAGCAUCUUGCUAGUGGUCUUGGGAGCAAAUCUUCUCCUUUUGUACAGUCACCUCUUUUUCCUUUUUUUCCUCUUCUGCUC
rnacentral:lncRNA from 1 species